rnacentral:rRNA from 1 species
AUUGGACGCUGGCGGCAGGCCUAACACAUGCAAGUCGAGCGGAUGAAGGGAGCUUGCUCCUGGAUUCAGCGGCGGACGGGUGAGUAAUGCCUAGGAAUCUGCCUGGUAGUGGGGGAUAACGUCCGGAAACGGGCGCUAAUACCGCAUACGUCCUGAGGGAGAAAGUGGGGGAUCUUCGGACCUCACGCUACCAGAUGAGACUAGGUCGGAUUAGCUAGUUGGUGGGGUAAAGGCCUACCAAGGCGGCGAUCCGUAACUGGUCUGAGAGGAUGAUCAGUCACACUGGAACUGAGACACGGUCCAGACUCCUACGGGAGGCAGCAGUGGGGAAUAUUGGACAAUGGGCGAAAGCCUGAUCCAGCCAUGCCGCGUGUGUGAAGAAGGUCUUCGGAUUGUAAAGCACUUUAAGUUGGGAGGAAGGGCAGUAAGUUAAUACCUUGCCGUUUUGACGUUACCAACAGAAUAAGCACCGGCUAACUUCGUG